UGGCAGAACUAGAAACAGAGCCUAUUACUUCCAGAAAAUUGAUCCCUUUUGCUUUCUCGAGAUUUUACUACUUUCUUUCUUUUUUUAUUUUUAUUUUUUAUUUUUUAAAUUUUGAAAUCUUUAUUUAUUGUUUCCAACAUCUUUAAUUUAAUUCUAGUUUAUUAUUUUUUCGUUCAAUUCAUUCCUUAUUCCAGAAAUUCGACUAUCUCACUCGUUCUCGUGUUAUUUUGCUUCGAUUUAACACCACGGCUUUGGAUUAAAUUGGACACGGUCCGAAUACUGUUUUGAGGGAGUCCGGAAAACCCUAAACACCUAUUUUUUAUUGGCUCCAUUCGAUGAGCCACUGAAAAAUAAUUCAAAUUCCAUCUCGUUAAUUCUUGCGACAACGGCGAUGGCAAUGGCUCGGCUCAAGAAUGCAAGGAUGCCAAUCUCAAACACCCUCUAUCGUGUGCAAAAUCCUUCUGUCUGCAAAAUUAUUUCUCAUCAUUUUCAUUGCACAGGCCAUACAUGAAUACGAGACUGACCGCCAGAAGCGACCAUGGCCAAAAGAUACUCCAAGCUUAUUUAAUCAUUUUUAUUGUACUUUCCGUUGGCGCGUGUAUAGAUUUAUCUAUAUCUAUAUAUAUAUAUAAUAUUCUUGUACGGACAUAAAAUUACCUAAUUUGCUGAAGCAGUGGCUGGUAUUCAUAGACGAUCCCAUGCCCAAAAAGAUGCAACCUCUGCCCCUACAACUAUGGCUAAUGACAACCGUGGAGGACAACAUCGAUGACACCGGCCGGCGAUGGUGAGGGAGAUGACAACAACGAUGGAUUUGCAAACAAGAUUGGGGAGGGCAACCCAAUGUGUUCUCCAGAAGACAUCAUGGUAUAACAAAACACAUCGAUCCCACUCCCCAACAUAAUUCCAACCUACACCAACUAAUUCUCCAACCCCCCAUCGGCGACAAUAUCCACAUUAGUUGCGGCUGGUUCAGCACUACCAAGCUCAUUAAUCCGCAGUGUGUAUAAUGUAUUGAAUAAUGUAAAAUAUAAAGGGAGAUAAGAGAUAUUGAGACUUUUGUUUGUUUAUAAGGAAAGAGAGUGAGUAUAUUGUCAUAGAGUAAAUCAAACAAACAAUUCCUUAAUAUAGUAUAUGAAAAGGACAAAGAGAAUUAAAAUUGGUUGGAGAUGUGUAGUAGGAAGAAGAAAAUGAGGAAAAAAGUUAGUGUUGUAUUACUCAACACUACCAUAAAAUUUAUUUAAAAAAAAAACUAUACAAUUGC